GGGGGUGUAGCUCAGUGGUAGAGCGCGUGCUUAGCAUGCACGAGGCCAGGAUGGUCUCUAUCUCCU
rnacentral:tRNA from 1 species